GCCCUCCGAGACGGUAACGUCAGUCAAUUAGUGCUGUGCCUAAACGCGGUCGCCCAUUGCGCGAGUUCUGUGUUCUCGCUGUACUUCUCGACGAUUUACUGAACCGGGUUCGUUUCUUUGGUUCGAGUGCAAAGGACUUCUUGGUUUCUAGGUUUUCCUAGGUGUGCAACAGGUUUGCCCUUGAAUCUGCUCACUGGUGAAGUGGCAGGUUGAAUCACCACCGGGUGCACGGCUACUUGGCAGGAUCGGGGAGGGGGACCUGCUUUGGAGCGUGUCCACAGUGCCGCUGGAACUUGCUCUUCGCGUUGGUAUCGACCGUCAUCUCCAGUUCACAACAUUCUAUCCCCAGCUCGCGUCACCCCUCGAGUCAAGCCUGCGCCCUCUGUGCCCGGAAUUGCACGCGCGGUGCAUGUGGCUUUGCAGCGUGGAGAAUCCGUUAUGAAGGCUACGGAGAGAAACGGACACGCAAGGUGCACGGACGACAUGGAGAGGAAAGUGGUGUCUCACAGGCGCCAGUACUGCUGCAGGACUUUUGCGAGCGUCCUGUCCUUGAUGUUUUCAGUCGUGUCUCUCGCCUACUGCGUUUUUCUAAGUGUGCAAACAUCCGAGAUUAAAGAGCGUGUGGCGGAACUGGAAAACGGGAACGCAGAGCUUCUGUAUCGCCCGGUUCCCGGUUUUGCAUUGGAUAAGCUAAAUUCAAUGAUUCACGAUCGAGUCGAUCAACUUCUGUCACAGAGGUCCUAUGAACAUUUGGCCAAGAUGCGGGUAGCGAGACAAGCGCCGGCAGAUUGCAGCUGUCCUCCAGGACCCCCAGGAAAGCGAGGAAGAAGAGGCAAGGACGGCGAGCCAGGACCUUCCGUAAGUACCGCUGCUGUUGGGCCUUAGUGUGUGGCGUGUGUGCGUGACGUGUGGCUGAAGGUAAAGGACCCGCCAUUAUCGCUGUGAUCCAGAUCAGCGCACAGCCUGGAUCAACACAUUUGCUUGGACUGGUACAGUUCUGUGUGCUGCUUUUGUGCUAUAUGGAGGACUUGGGGGGGGGGGGGGCAAAAUGCAGUAAUAUUUGUGCAUAGAAAGGAUGAACCUUGAUCUUAAAUUCGUCACUAAUCGUCUCUUUCUCAAAGUUAUUCGCGUGUCCAUUUAUUUAAAUCUUGACUGAAGAGUCAUAAAGGGUUUUAAAUGAGGAUAGAUAGGUAUUGCAUGUCUGUAAGGUCAUUUAAUUCCAAGUCAGUUCAGUGCAAUUUUGCAAAGUGAGCUGCAAUUACAUGAAUCAUAGUUGCAAGUAACUAGCCUACUUAUCCAAUCGGGGAUUACCACCCAUAAGGAAACAGGAUGCAUUGCAAUACAUUGUAAAUAUGUAGACUUACAUGUGGACUUAAACAUAGUGUUAAAUUAACAUUAUAUUUUUAUGUCUUGUAAGAAGCAGGGUUGUUUUACUCUCAGAUGCUUAUUGCGACACACUGGCAGUUUUAUUCAUAAUGAAAUGCCUCAGACACCCAGUGCAGCUAAAAAACAAACAAACAAACAAAAAUGAAUCUGUCAUGUUUUGAUAAACAAGCACCUAUUAUCGUUUUUCUCCUGUACGAACAAUUACAUUUCUGAGCGGAAAGAAAUUGCAUUUUAAUUGGGCGGAAUCAACGCGCAGUGAAUCAUUUCGGUGCCCAGAGAACCUUCUUUUUUCACUCGACAGCCGAAAUUAAGCCUCGUUUUCAUUUUCUUGGUCUCAUUUUCAUGCCAGUAAAAAGUGGCUAUGUUCCUGUUUGAUUUAAAUAAAAUUCUCAUUUGAGUUUUGAGACCAAA